CGGGUGAGUAACGCGUAGGAAUCUAUCCAUAGGUGAGGCAUAGCUUGCCGAAAGGCGAGGUAAUACCUCAUAGUCUCGCAAGAGUAAAGGACUUAACGGUCCGCCAAUGGAGGAGCCUGCGUCCUAUCAGCUAGUUGGUGAGGUAAAAGCUUACCAAGGCAAUGACGGGUAGCUGGACUGAGAGGUCGGACAGCCACAACUGCACUGAGACACGGGCAGU
rnacentral:rRNA from 1 species